GAGUAAUGCCUAGGAAUCUGCCUGGUAGUGGGGGAUAACGUUUCGAAAGGAGCGCUAAUACCGCAUACGUCCUACGGGAGAAAGCAGGGGACCUUCGGGCCUUGCGCUAUCAGAUGAGCCUAGGUCGGAUUAGCUAGUUGGAGAGGUAAUGGCUCACCAAGGCUACGAUCCGUAACUGGGCUGAGAGGAUGAUCAGUCACACUGGAACUGAGACACGGUCCAGACUCCUACGGGAGGCAGCAGUGGGGAAUAUUGGACAAUGGGCGAAAGCCUGAUCCAGCCAUGCCGCGUGUGUGAAGAAGGUCUUCGGAUUGUAAAGCACUUUAAGUUGGGAGGAAGGGCAGUAAGCUAAUAUCUUGCUGUUUUGACGUUACCGACAGAAUAAGCACCGGCUAACUCUGUGCCAGCAGCCGCGGUAAUACAGAGGG
rnacentral:ncRNA from 1 species